AAAAACUAUAGUAGUACAUCAAUGUCUAGAAGCCAACACUGCAGGUAACCGAUGCGCUAUGUAACAUUCGAAUAAAAUCUAAAGAGAUAAACUGCAUGAAACAUUCAAUUUAUCUUGCAGUAAUGAGCAUCUUUGUUAUGUGUGUACUGUACCUGUCCUCUAAUUUUGGCAGUAGCAUUUCCUCUGACGUGCCGUGGACUCCAAACACAGUCAUGUAGAUCUGUGUGUCUGUACCUGCGUGCUGGACAUCUCCUGUUAUCACGGUCACUUCAUAGAUCACCUAGGAGAAAGACAUCUUUCAUACACUUUCUGUAGGAAAUAGCAGCAAAUCAGCAUAUCAGAACGAUUUCUAAAGGACCGUGUGACACUGAAGACUGGAGGAAUGAUGCUGAAAAUGAAGCCUUGCAUCACAGGAACAAAAUACAUCAUUAAAUAUUUUCAAAUAGAAAAUAGCUACUUUAAAUUGUAAUAAUAUUUGACAAUUUUACAGCUUUUACUAUGUUUUGGAUCAAAUAAAUGCAGCCGUGAUUUAGUUCAAAAACAUUAAACAAAAUCAUACACACCCAAAACUUAAGAAAAAAUAGGUAAUGUUUAAUAAAGUUGACCUAAAAAAUCUAUAAAAAUCUUACAUGAGCUUUUAAUAUUUUGAAGGUAGAAGGAGAUGCAAUGGUGUACCUUCUGUGGGAUAUUAACACUUUCUGCAUCCUGCACGUCUAGGAAGCGGGCGGUGAGUCCGUCUCCUCUGUCUUUGGCCAGCCAGCAUUUACAUGGAAACACGUAGCGCACCGCUUUAGUCGGCACCUCGACAGUCAACUCCUCCACUAACCAGCAGCUCUCUGGAGUCGCCCCAUCAUGACCCAACUACACACGACACAAACCAACAAUCUGACAUCUUACCGUAUCUAUACAUACAGAAAUGAAAAACUACAGAAUCUGUGAGUGUGCUUUCCCUCACUUCCACUUUCUUGAUGUCGCCAACAUCAGUUCCGAAACAGGUAAAGUAAUCCAGGGAUCCAGGCAUGAAUCCGGUUUUCCCAUCCAAGUCGAGCCAGAGGUGUUCGGUCUUCUUGUGCUUCUUUCCUAUGAUGAUGACAUACACUCGGCUACUCGUCCCAGCAUCGCGAUCCAAACCCGUCGUCACCGAGAAGUGCCAGCGGCCACAUGGAAAGCGCAACAGCUGACCCAGAGAUGGAGCAUCGAUCUCUACCCAGUCCAGAAACCAGCCUGGAUACGCACCUGAGAAAACACGACAGCACACACACAAAGAGACAUGUGCAACAUCCACAUACACACAUGUACACUGUAAGUAAUUGUCUGUAGGAUUUACACCAAUGCUGCCUGUGCUGGGGAUUCAGAAGAAAGCUAGUCACAUUUAAGGGACAGGUUAAUCACAGUUUAAUACAGACACCUAUUCACAUAGAUAUAAAUAAUCUUUGUUUUUAUGCAUGCACAAACCUUACUGAAUUCAUUACGAAUGCACAUCAUUUAAUUUAAACUGUUUUAAAUAUGUAUCUAAAUGUGUUUUACAAUACAACUGAAAAGUUUUUGUGAUGAUUUUGAAAGAAGUCACCAAAGGCUGCAUUUAUUUGAUCAAAUGAAAUCUUAUUAUACUUUAAAAUAAAUGUUUUCUUAUUUUAACAUAUCGUAAAAUGUCAUUUUAAAGCUGAAUUUUCAGCAUCAUUCCUCCAGUCUUCAGUGUCACAUGAUCUUCAGAAAUCAUUCUAAUACGUAUCUUCAGGAUUUUUUUAUGCAUAGAAAAAUCAAAAGAACGGCAUUUAUUUUUUUCAACAUUAUAAAUGUCUUUUCUGUCACUUUUGAUCAAUUCAAUGCAGCUUUGCUAAAUAAAAGUACCGUAUUUUCCGGACUAUAAGUCGCACUUUUUUUCAUAGUUUGGCUGGUCCUGCGACUUAUUUAUCAAAAUUAUUUUGACAUGAACCGAGAGAAAUGAAGCAUAGAGCGCCCUCUCGUGGCUGUAGAUGGUAAUGGUUUCUCUUGGUUCUUGGUUCUAAAUAAAUGCGACUUAUAUGUUUUUUUCCUCAUCAUGACGUAUUUUUGGACUUAUGCGACUUAUUCUCAGGUGCGACUUACAGUCCGAAAAGUACGGUAUUCAUUUCUUUUUAAACUCAACCCUAAAUGAACGGAAGUGUUUUUGAUGCAGAUGAUUUUCAUUUUAUAGUGAAGAAUUUUCAAAAACAGAAAAUAACUUAAGAAUGUGUCUUUUAAAAUUAUGUUUUAGUGUUCAAAUACAAUUUAUAACUCAUUGCCUGGCUUUAAACUAUCUGUGACCAACAACACAGGAAGUUCAUAUUUAAAAAUGGUUGUACAUCACCUUAGUUUUUUUUUUGCUGUAAAAAGGACAGCGAUUCGCUACAGUGUAAACACACAAACGGGCAAACGCACAAGCACACACGUCACUCAUCAAUGCACAGAUCUGAACUUCAGAAUGCAGAUUCAGUGUAUUUGCAGAAAUGUACCUGCGUUGUCGUGUCCGAUACGGAUUCUCUUCAGUUUUCCGAUGUCCACUGCCUCUAUGGUGAACUCGUCAAUCAUUCCCAACUCAAACUUGUUCCCAUGGUUCUUAGACGCCUUUAGAUUAAUGAGACCUGACACACACAAACACACUUUUCAGUAGCCGCAGGCCUUUUAAUACUAAAAGUGUUUUCAUAGUUACCAGUGUCAUCUUUGGUUCCAUAGAGAAUAGCAUAAACGUUUGCAUCUGUCCCGGCGCUCUUCUUCUCCCCUGUUUUGACUCUCAUCGUGAAUGUUGUUGACAUGGCUACAAACAGACAUAUUCAGUGUAAUGUCAAUGCAGUGAGCAAAUGCCAUUAGGUUGCCAUUAACAUUCAAAACCUUUUUGCUCUAGUCCGAGUUGAGCAGGCGAUGACUCCUCUUCUUCAUCUUCAUCUCUCUUCAUGAAAGCCUCGUCUACAGGCACUAACUCACGGCCCAGCUGCCCGUCAUCUUCAUCCACCGCCAACCAGCGCUGACAGGGGAAAAAAUACCUGAAUAACACACACAAAGCAAACAUGGUCAGCAUAGUCUAUAGGUGAGAGAAAUCACUAAUGAGAUCGCUUUAAUAUGUCAGUUGUUUCUCUUUAGCGAAUAAUUAGAUUCGAUUGGGCAAGUUUAGAAUUAUGCAUUAAAUUUAAAAAAACAUUUUCG
rnacentral:lncRNA from 1 species